CGGCAUGCCUUACACAUGCAAGUCGAACGGCAGCGGGGGUAGCUUGCUACCUGCCGGCGAGUGGCGAACGGGUGAGUAAUACAUCGGAACGUGCCCUGUAGUGGGGGAUAACUAGUCGAAAGACUGGCUAAUACCGCAUACGACCUGAGGGUGAAAGUGGGGGACCGCAAGGCCUCAUGCUAUAGGAGCGCCCGAUGUCUGAUUAGCUAGUUGGUGGGGUAAAGGCCCACCAAGGCGACGAUCAGUAGCUGGUCUGAGAGGACGAUCAGCCACACUGGGACUGAGACACGGCCCAGACUGCUAC
rnacentral:rRNA from 1 species